ACCGUCGCGCAGUCAACACAGCUAGUAACUUAAUAGGAAGGAAAUACAAAGGAUACAUUUAAACACAACAACACCUACUACAGUGGCGUAUAUGAUAUGCUGCGGUACCCGAAGUUGAGAAACUUUUUCAGAAUGCUGUGGUGAAACUGCACUAAUGUGAGAAGUUCAAAAAGGAUUGUGAUACCUUUGAGCAAUUUAUAGAAGAACACAAGCUGUCGCUUCAAAUCUAGCAGUGGCAACAUAUCAAGAUGGGAUGCGCCGGCUUUAGCGUGACAACAUAGGGGCAACCCCAAAUUUGGAUUCAAAAUGACCCGAUGGGAGAAUGCCGCUUGUAUCAGUUACGGAAUUCACUUUGAAAAUAAAAUAAAAUUUUAAAAGUAUUAAAAAUAGUUUUAUAUACUGGAGAAUCGUAAUAUUACCAUAAU